GACGAACGCUGGCGGCGUGCUUAACACAUGCAAGUCGAGCGGUAAGGCCCCUUCGGGGGUACACGAGCGGCGAACGGGCGAGUAACACGUGGGUGACCUGCCCUCAGCUCUGGGAUAAGUCUGUGAAACUGGGUCUAAUACCGGCCAUGACCUUUCUUCUCCUGGGGUUUGGGGGAAAGUUUUUUCGGCCGGGGAUGGGCCCGCGGCCUAUUAGCUUGUUGGUGGGGUGAUGGCCUACUAAGGCGACGACGGGUAGCCGGCCUGGGAGGGCGACCGGCCAGGCAGUGAGUGAGGCACCGGACAGACUCGUACGGGAGGAAGCGGGAGGGAAGAUUGCGCAAGGGGCGGAAGACUGAGGCAGCGACGCCGCGUGAGGAAGGACGGCCGGCGGGUUGUAGCCCUCUUUCGACCCCGACGAAUUUGGACGGUAGGGGUAGAAGAAGCACCGGCUAACUACGUG
rnacentral:rRNA from 1 species